rnacentral:rRNA from 1 species
UACGGAGGGGGCUAGCGUUGCUCAGAAUUACUGGGCGUAAAGCGCACGUAGGCGGCUUUGUAAGUUAGAGGUGAAAGCCCAGGGCUUAACCCUGGAAUUGCCUUUAAGACUGCAUCGCUAGAAUCGUGGAGAGGUGAGUGGAAUUCCGAGUGUAGAGGUGAAAUUCGUAGAUAUUCGGAAGAACACCAGUGGCGAAGGCGGCUCACUGGACCGGUUCUGACGCUGAGGCGCGAAAGCGUGGGGAGCAAACGGG